AUGGGAACGCGAAGAACCUUACCUACUCUUGACAUCCAGAGAACUUAGCAGAGAUGCUUUGGUGCCUUCGGGAACUCUGAGACAGGUGCUGCAUGGCUGUCGUCAGCUCGUGUUGUGAAAUGUUGGGUUAAGUCCCGCAACGAGCGCAACCCUUAUCCUUUGUUGCCAGCGGUCCGGCCGGGAACUCAAAGGAGACUGCCAGUGAUAAACUGGAGGAAGGUGGGGAUGACGUCAAGUCAUCAUGGCCCUUACGAGUAGGGCUACACACGUGCUACAAUGGCGCAUACAAAGAGAAGCGACCUCGCGAGAGCAAGCGGACCUCAUAAAGUGCGUCGUAGUCCGGAUUGGAGUCUGCAACUCGACUCCAUGAAGUCGGAAUCGCUAGUAAUCGUAGAUCAGAAUGCUACGGUGAAUACGUUCCCGGGUC
rnacentral:rRNA from 1 species